rnacentral:rRNA from 1 species
UACGUAGGGGGCAAGCGUUUUCCGGAAUUAUUGGGCGUAAAGAGCUCGUAGGCGGUCUGUCGCGUCUGCUGUGAAAACUCAGGGCUUAACCCUGAGCUUGCAGUGGGUACGGGCAGACUAGAGUGCGGUAGGGGAGACUGGAAUUCCUGGUGUAGCGGUGAAAUGCGCAGAUAUCAGGAGGAACACCGGUGGCGAAGGCGGGUCUCUGGGCAGUAACUGACGCUGAAGAGCGAAAGCGUGGGGAGCGAACAGG